GGGGGGGGGGGGGGGGGGGGGGGGGGGGGGGGGGGGGGGGGGGGGGGGGGGGGGGGGGGGGGGGGGGGGGCGGGCAGCGAGGCCGGCGGGAGGUGCGGCCCUGCCCGCGCCCCCUCCCCGCUGCUGCCCCUGAGCGCUGCUUUUAUCCUCCCCACGCCUCUCCGUGAUUUUUGCGGCCUCCGGGACAGUCACGCCUUCAAAACUGCCCGCGCCGGGCCCAGCCGUGCCUGUGGCCUGCUUCAUGGCCGAGACCAGCGUGCUCCUGGGCCGGCUGGGAGAGACCGUGUACCAAAAGUGGUCACUGGCUGCCAAGAAAAAAUCCAGCACUGGUAAGUAAAAAAAUCCUACAUGUCUAAAAUACUGAUGAGUAACCUAGUUAUGCUUUAGUAAAGUAUUGCUGUUUAUUCUGAUGAGAGUCAAAUCCUGCUAGCAUAUUUUGGGAAUUAUAGUUAGUGAUAGUUCAGAAUUGUUGCAAUGUACUCUCCUUAAAAUACAUUUAUUUCUCACUGAUAUAAUAAAAUCACAAAUACAGUGAGCUUCAGUGUUUAUACUUCUGCCUUAAAAACCUAUCUCAUCUGUCGUUUUUGCCCAAGUAGCCUUGUUGGAUGAAUGCUUAAUCUGCUUGAAUGGUGAAAAGGUGCUCCCAGGGUAGAAUUAUUGUUGUUUUCUAACUAUGGAGCAAGUAGGGAAAUUCCACUUGCCCCCUCCUUAAGCUGAAACAAGGGGGAUGUAAUGUUUCACUGUUACCCCACAAGUAAAGUAUGUGCUAAAGCUUUGUUUUCAAUACUUAAAAUAAAUAGUUUGUUAUAUAAAAAAUUAUCUCUGGACAUUUUUUCCUGUGUUGGCAGUCUGUGGUUAAUAGAAAACAUACCUAGUAAAUAAUAGUUUUGUAUGGCAUCUGAGGAAAAUGUACAUUUAAUGGUGAAUGAAAUCUUAUGAGUUACUGUGAGAUAUAAUAGUUGAUCUUACAGAUAUCAAAUUACGAUAUAUCCAUGCUGUGUUUACCAUGAUUUUACUGAGAGAACAACAGGAGCUGUCUUGAUUAUUGUCUGCAGGGUUAUUGCAGAAUCACAGCAACUGCCCCUUUAGUGGUGAGAUUAAACCUUUGGUUAUACACCAUCAAGCAUAUAAUAUUUUAAAUUUAUUUUAAGAGGCUUUUUCUUCAUGCCUGAAAGAUCUCCAAGCAAAUAAUUUAUAUUUAGUGUGUAUCAAAUGUUUUUAGUUUAAAUGCACAUAGGCUGCAAGCGCUGGAUAAGAGGAAAAAAAUCAAGGCAAUCUAUACACAUCAUCAUAUUAAAUUCUGACUAUUGGCUCGCAAAAAUAAUCUAAAACUAAUAUGUUUCAUUUAUGUUUAAAAUUCAGAGGCUGCAUUAAUUUUCAAUAAGGGAAAUAUUGAAGUGUCUACUGGUGCUGCUGUGGUGAAGGCAGGCAGAAUAUCUCCAGCUCAUGCACUUUCUCAGGAGCUUUGCAGUGUCUGUGCCUGCUGGCUGCCAUGUGAAAUUCUGCAUGUGCAUUCUUCCACUCAGAAAUAUUUCAGAAAUAAACUAUUGGGCAGAAAGCUGUAAAAUUUGAACAGAUUUUUAAAAGUUUGGAAAAUUAUGACAAUUAUUUUCCUUUUUACUAUGGUUUAUGGAGUGACCUGGGAAUGUUGGCUGUGGAGAAAAGAGUCGCUCCUGUGUUUGCUUUUAUGCGAACUCUGGCAAUGAUUCCAUGAACUUGAUAGUUUUGGGCACAGAACCUCUAAUGAAAAAAAUAACAAACUGAUUUCUUUUAUAUAGAAAAGCAGUUUGUAUAGCAUCCAUACAAUCUUUAUUUCAUUAAAAAAUUAAAAUUUAGUACUCUUAUUUAGAUCUUGAUUGUGCAAGAGCUGAGUGCUCUUGUUUCAACUGAAUAAUUUGUUCAUAUAAGACCUUUUAAGUAGUCAGUGACACAGAAGAAUGUUAAAUAGAAUUGGUUGAAUAACAAUAGGGUUUUAAAAUGCUCAGCUUCAAUAUAUUUCCAUUAAAUUAUUUUCUAUUUUUCAAGUGCACUUUUUGAAGUAUAUUUCUAAAGCCAUGAAUCCAGUAAUGGGUUGGGUAUGGGAUUAAUAGCUACACAUGCAUUUCACCUUCUAGGGACAUGUUCAUAGCUGGAGUCCCAGUAUUCUUCCUCCCUUUCCCUUUGGUUCUUCAUUGCCUGUUGUGGCAAACUGUAGCCCUGGCACACCCCAGGGCUUGUGAAAGCAUCAGCUAGACAUGAAGAGGGAACUUCUUAAGUAAUGCUGUUUCAGGCCAAUUAUUUAAAAGGAUGAAUUUAAAUUUUCUUUAUCUGCAU
ensembl:lncRNA